GGUAAUGUCUUCACUUUUUAACAGGUUAUCUUUGACAUAAUCAUGGUUUGAACUUUGUGUAGACAUCGAGGAGGCUUUUGGUUGUCUAUAUGGCUCUAUGGCUUAAGAGAGAUGUCUGUGCUGUGCAUUUACCUCUCAUCUCUACCCAUACAUAAGGAGACUCAGAAAUACAUAUUUGAGAGCCAUUAUUUAUGUAAUAAUUAAAGCUGUGGGGUUAGCUAAGAUCACCAGGGAGGGAAUAAAAUGAGAAGAGAAAAGGGCUGAGGACAGAAUCCCAAGGAACAUCUGUAUUUAUGAGAGGCUGAUGUCAUCACAGCCACAUAGCAGAACAAUUUCCCACAGCAAUGGAAGUUCUAUGACAGCAUUGGGGUUACAAAAGCUGGGUGAGCACUGUACCGGUUCCAAAAUGUGGGUUCAAGGAAAGGAAGGUUAUUCAAUGAUGGAAUCUUCCAUGUAUUUCUUCGGACUGCUCCACUUACCACAUCAUCAUUCCAGGCCCUGACCUUUGUGAACUCCUCUGGAAAAUCAAACAUACCUAAGCCGCCCAGGCUUGGGUCUAAUGACACCGACAGUUGCUCUUCGGGAGGUCGUGGAACAGGGCUUGGAGGGUGAUUUGAAUGAGAAGGAAACCUAAUGGUCAUGGAAUCCACAUUUUUCGUGGGAAAACAAGAAUCCAGAGAAGUUAAGGGACUUGAUCCAGAUCCCCUCUCCUGUGAUGCCUUUCUGGACUUUCCAAGGCGGUUUGGAGUGGUGCUUCCUUCCCAGCUGUUUGCAAAACCCGUGUGUGCUUUUCUCCAUGACUUUUAACCCUUUGUUAGAAUGAAUGAUCAGCAGCGUCUCUCUCACUAAAUGGAGACCCUCUUAAGAGUGGGCUGAAUUAUAUUUGUCCCAAGGCCUGGAACAUUUAAGUCCUCAUGAAUGUUUCAUUAGUGGGUGAGUCCCUCACGUGCUAUCUACUGAGUACAAUAGUUGUGACUUCAGACUCCAGGAGAUUAAGGAGAAGUUCUAAAACAGCUAAGUUCCCCUUGGUAGCAGACCAGAGGCAAAAGGCAAAACCACAGUUUAGGGUGAGAAGCACAUCUAGAUGGGGAAGAUGAGGAUUCCAGGCACCCAGGCCAGAAAGAAGGGAGUAGAAGCAUUUCAGUUUCCUUACUUGUAGAUGCAUUCAAUUCAUUCAUUCAUUCAUUCAUUCAUUCAUUCAAUAAUUUUAUACUACUAGGGGCCAGAAGGUUCUUUAGGCACUGGGAACACA